AAUUAUUAUGCCAACAAUUAUACUAAGAAAAUUCCCAGUUAAAUUGAAGGGGUCACAAAUGGUCCCGCUUAAAACCCAACAACUAGACAGAACUCACUUAGAUAUUUAUAGCAAUAAUAACUAAAUAAAUAUAACCAACAUAAAGCUAUUAAAUAUAAGCAAACAAAUAAGAAAUAAAAUACCAGAGUUUUAACGAGGUUCGGCCAAUUUAGCUUACGUCCUCGGACACUACCAAAUUAAUAUUUCCUCUAGAAAUAUUACAAUAGAGAAGAU
rnacentral:lncRNA from 1 species